GUGAACCUGCUCCGUAGGGAAGGAUCAGUGGGUGGGCGACCGCCCAGGAUUCGUAGCCUCGCUUUCUUACACAAACUUCAGAAUGUACAUCAGAAUUAACGAACAACGGGGUUCGCCCCUUGUCCACAAACACACCCCCGUGCACGUUGAAGGCCCGGCUCGUUGAUGGUCUUACGCGUGUAACGCAUCGUAAUAUAACUUUCAGCAACGGAUCUCUUGGCUCUCGCAUCGAUGAAGAACGCAGCGAAAUGCGAUAAGUAAUGUGAAUUGCAGAAUUCAGUGAAUCAUCGAAUCUUUGAACGCACCUUGCGCUCCUUGGCAUUCCGAGGAGCAUGCCUGUUUGAGUGUCAUGAAACUCUCAACCCCUGCCAUCUUUGCGGAUGAGCGUCGGUUGGAUUUUGGAGGUUGCCGGACUCGUUCGGCUCCUCUUGAAAGCAUAGUAAAGCUUGGACCUGACCGACCGGGUGGACGUGAUAGAAAGUCACCGUCGACCGAAGGGUCCGUCGCUGAACGGUUCAAGCUUUGUUUGUCGUCUUCGGACGAACAUCUCUGACCUCUGACCUCAAAUCGGUAGGACUACCCGCUGAACUUAAGCAUAUCAAUAAGCGG
rnacentral:rRNA from 1 species